rnacentral:tRNA from 1 species
ACUUGCAUAGGAUAAUAGUACUCCACUGGUCUUAGGAACCAAAAAUUCUUGGUGCAAAUCCAAGUGCAGGCU